rnacentral:sRNA from 1 species
CCUGGGCGGCCGCAUUGAUAGCUUUACGCCCGGAGGCUUCGGCGCUGCCGCUGGUCCGCGACGGGAACGGGGCGAAAAGGCGGCGGCACCAUGUUCUCCCUCAAGCCGCCCAAACCCACCUUCAGGUCCUAUCUCCUGCCACCGCCCCAGACUGACGAUAAGAUCAAUUCGGAACCGAAGAUUAAAAAACUGGAGCCAGUCCUUUUGCCAGGAGAAAUUGUCGUAAAUGAAGUCAAUUUUGUGAGAAAAUGCAUUGCAACAGACACAAGCCAGUACGAUUUGUGGGGAAAGCUGAUAUGCAGUAACUUCAAAAUCUCCUUUAUUACAGAUGACCCAAUGCCAUUACAGAAAUUCCAUUACAGAAACCUUCUUCUUGGUGAACAUGAUGUCCCUUUAACAUGUAUUGAGCAAAUUGUCACAGUAAAUGACCACAAGAGGAAGCAGAAAGUCCUAGGCCCCAACCAGAAACUGAAAUUUAAUCCAACAGAGUUAAUUAUUUAUUGUAAAGAUUUCAGAAUUGUCAGGUUUCGCUUUGAUGAAUCAGGUCCGGAAAGUGCUAAAAAGCCAACAAAAUUAAUGGAAUUCCCUCAGGAGAUGGAGGAGGAGGAGGAGGAGGAGGAGGAGGAAGAGGAGGAGGAGGAGGAGGUAAUGGAGCUGGUGGUGGCAGCCAGAAAACUCCACUCUUUGAAACUUACUCGGAUUGGGACAGAGAAAUCAAGAGGACAGGUGCUUCCGGGUGGAGAGUUUGUUCUAUUAACGAGGGUUACAUGAUAUCCACUUGCCUUCCAGAAUACAUUGUAGUGCCAAGUUCUUUAGCAGACCAAGAUCUAAAGAUCUUUUCCCAUUCUUUUGUUGGGAGAAGGAUGCCACUCUGGUGCUGGAGCCACUCUAAUGGCAGUGCUCUUGUGCGAAUGGCCCUCAUCAGAGACGUGCUGCAGCAGAGGAAGAUUGACCAGAGGAUUUGUAAUGCAAUAACUAAAAGUCACCCACAGAGAAGUGAUGUUUACAAAUCAGAUUUGGAUAAGACCUUGCCUAAUAUUCAAGAAGUACAGGCAGCAUUUGUAAAACUGAAGCAGCUAUGCGUUAAUGAGCCUUUUGAAGAAACUGAAGAGAAAUGGUUAUCUUCACUGGAAAAUACUCGAUGGUUAGAAUAUGUAAGGGCAUUCCUUAAGCAUUCAGCAGAACUUGUAUACAUGCUAGAAAGCAAACAUCUCUCUGUAGUCCUACAAGAGGAGGAAGGAAGAGACUUGAGCUGUUGUGUAGCUUCUCUUGUUCAAAUGAUGCUGGAUCCCUAUUUUAGGACAAUUAUUGGAUUUCAGAGUCUGAUACAGAAGGAGUGGGUCAUGGCAGGAUAUCAAUUUCUAGACAGAUGCAACCAUCUAAAGAGAUCAGAGAAAGAGUCUCCUUUAUUUUUGCUAUUCUUGGAUGCCACCUGGCAGCUGUUAGAACAAUAUCCUGCAGCUUUCGAGUUCUCCGAAACCUACCUGGCAGUGUUGUAUGACAGCACCCGGAUUUCACUGUUUGGCACCUUCCUGUUCAACUCCCCUCACCAGCGAGUGAAGCAAAGCACGGUAAGCAACCCUGUGGCUGUGGCUACAUUUUCCCUGUUUUUACAACUUUAUCGAGGCAUAAUUGAAGUAUAAUUCA